rnacentral:piRNA from 1 species
UAGCUAGUGAUGGACACCUGAUGCCCAAAGA